rnacentral:lncRNA from 1 species
CUGAUCCAUAUGAAUUUCUCUUAUUAAGAAAAAUAAAGCAUCCAGGAUUCAAUGAAGAACUGUCUAUCACCUUGCUAAUCAUUCAGAAACAUGUUGCAGGCUUAAGCCAUUUUCGAUAUAGAUAUUGAAACAAUUACUUGCUAAGAGCAAACUUGAAGGUAUGGAUAAGGCCCUGAGUCAUCUUCCUGAACUGAAUGAUAGUUAAGCUGAAUGUACGUAUAAAAUAUGAUUUUUCUAACCACUUGCUCACCAACAAGGAAAACUUUUAAGUAGAGCAGAACCUGAAUAGACAAGACAUUUCUUUCUUUUGGUAGAAAAUGAUUUACCCUCACUGUCUAGUUAAUUGUAGACUAGGUAAUUUCAACUUUGUGAUUUAUUGCCAGAGACAUUUUCUUCUGUACUGUAAAGUGUGUGUCAAAAAAAAAAAUAGCGAUUUUGGAGGAUUAGGGGCCUUUGAUAAAUUGCCUGCAAUUCUGGCAGUAUGAACUGAAUAUUAAUUUCUCCCUUUCAAGAACGUUUUUAUUUAUUAAUUCCUUACAAAAACUCCCUAAACUUUGGAACAGCUCUCAUUUGCCUGUAUUC